GAAAAUUGAAUCACAAUCAAAGCUUAGUACACACAAGUAAAAAGAUAAAAGCAAUUUCAAAGAUAAACGAAAGCAAAUAUUUUUGGAGACUAUAACAAACUAAACCCCCAUGCUGAGAGUAAAAACUCUCUUAUAUAAUUUGUUACGACCCUUUUAGUUGUAUUCUUUUGUGUAAAGUGAUGAUCGUCUCAUCUCUCAAACUCUUCUUCCAAAUGAUCUCAUGUUUAUGCAUUUGGAAUCAUCAUUCGUCAUGCGAGCUGUACUUGUCUCUAAUGUGUGUGUGUGUGUGUGUGUUCAUAGACAUUUCAAGCACAAAACCUGC
rnacentral:lncRNA from 1 species